rnacentral:snRNA from 1 species
AUAAUUACUUGGACAUGGUCAAUGGGUGAUCAAGAAGUUCCAUGGCCUAGGCUGGUAAUCUCCAUUAAACCUUGCAUGGUGCCUACCUAAGGUCGAUCGAAGUGGUCAAGCUUAAGUCAUAAUUUUUGGAAAUAGGGCCCUACGUUUAUGGACCCCCAUA